UGGUAGCCGAGUGGGUAAAGCGCUUAUGGUUAUUUCCCAAGGUUGGUGGUUCGAUUCCAUCCUGGACAA